rnacentral:rRNA from 1 species
AUAUCAGUCAUGCAUAGCAUAUCAAUAAGCGGAGGAAAAGAAACUAACAAGGAUUCCCUUAGUAACGGCGAGUGAAGCGGGAAGAGCUCAAAUUUGAAAUCUUCAAGGUUUUACCUUGACGAAUUGUAGUUUAAAGAAGUGUUUUCUGUUGAAGUUUUGGUAAAAGUUCUUUGGAAUAGGACAUCAUAGAGGGUGAGAAUCCCGUAUUUGACCAUUACUUUCAGCUUUGUGAUACACUUUCAAAGAGUCGGAUUGUUUGGGAAUGCAGUCCAAAAUGGGUGGUAAAUUUCAUCUAAAGCUAAAUAUUGGCGAGAGACCGAUAGCGAACAAGUACCGUGAGGGAAAGAUGAAAAGAACUUUGAAAAGAGAGUUAAACAGUACGUGAAAUUGUCAAAAGGGAAGCGUUUGACACCAGUGUUGUUUUCUCGAAAAUCAAUUAAAAAGAGUUGGAUUUUGUGUUGUACUGACUUUAUCAGGCUUUCUUCACUCUUUUCCAGCUUUUUUUAAUGCACUUUUCGUUUAACAAGUCAACAUCAGUUUCUUUUGUUGUAAAAGGGUCAUUGGAAGGUGGCUUUCUCUUCGGAGAAAGUGUUUAUAGCCUUUGACUCAUGCAAUCGGAGAGACUGAGGUCUGCAGCGUAGAUCCUUCGGGGUUAGAUACAUUUGUGCUAAGUUAUAGCUUUUCAUAGACAACUUGUUGACUAUGUUUAGUCUUGUAGCUUACUCGCUUAUGCUAUUUUACCUACGCUUAGGAUGUUGAACUCUAUCACACACAG